rnacentral:rRNA from 1 species
AAGGAAUAUUGGACAAUGGAGGCAACUCUGAUCCAGCCAUGCCGCGUGAAGGAAUAAGGCCCUAUGGGUUGUAAACUUCUUUUAGACGGGACAAAACCCCUUUACGUGUAAAGGGUUGAUGGUACUGUCAGAAUAAGCAUCGGCUAACUUCGUGCCAGCAGCCGCGGUAAUACGAAGGAUGCAAGCGUUAUCCGGAAUUAUUGGGUUUAAAGGGUGCGUAGGCGGACUAAUAAGUCAGUGGUGAAAGCCUGCAGCUUAACUGCAGAAUUGCCAUUGAUACUGUUAGUCUUGAGUACAGUUGAGGUAGGCGGAAUGUGUCAUGUAGCGGUGAAAUGCUUAUAUAUGACACAGAACACCGAUUGCGAAGGCAGCUUGCUAAGCUGUAACUGACGCUGAGGCACGAAAGCGUGGGGAGCAAACA